GAUGAACGCUGGCGGCGUGCCUAACACAUGCAAGUCGAACGGAGAUACGAUUUCGGUUGUAUCUUAGUGGCGAACGGGUGAGUAACGCGUGAGCAACCUGACCUUCAGAGGGGGAUAACAUUUGGAAACAGAUGCUAAUACCGCAUAAGACCACGCUGUGGCAUCAUAGAGAGGUCAAAGGAGCAAUCCGCUGAAGGAGGGGCUCGCGUCCCAUUAGAUAGAUGGCGGGGUAACGGCCCACCAUGUCGACGAUGGGUAGCCGAGCUGAGAGGCUGAUCGGCCACACUGGAACUGAGACACGGUCCAGACUCCUACGGGAGGCAACAGUGGGGAAUAUUGGGCAAUGGGCGCAAGCCUGACCCAGCAACGCCGCGUGAGGGAAGAAGGCUUUCGGGUUGUAAACCUCUGUCCUUGGUGACGAAAAAAAUGACGGUAGCCAAGGAGGAAGCCCCGGCUAACUACGUGCCAGCCGCCGCCGUAA
rnacentral:rRNA from 1 species